rnacentral:rRNA from 1 species
CCUACGGGUGGCAGCAGUGGGGAAUAUUGGACAAUGGGGUGAACCCUGAUCCAGCGACGCCGCGUGAGUGAAGAAGUAUUUCGGUAUGUAAAGCUCUAUCAGCAGGGAAGAAAGAAAUGACGGGACCUGCCUAAGAGACCCCAGCUAACGACGUGCCAGCAGCCGCGGUAAUACGUAGGGGGCAAGCGUUAUCCGGAUUUACUGGGUGUAAAGGGAGCGUAGAGGGCGAUGCAAGUCUAAAGUGAAAGGCGGGGGCCCAACCCCCGGACUGCCGUGGAAACUGUAUGGCUGGAGUGCAGGAGAGGUAAGUGGAAUGCCUAGUGUAGCGGUGAAAUGCGUAGAUAUUAGGAGGAACACCAGUGGCGAAGGCGGCUUACUGGACUGUAACUGACGUUGAGGCUCGAAAGCGUGGGGAGCAAACAGGAUUAGAUACCCGUGUAGUC